rnacentral:rRNA from 1 species
GGGGCAACCUGGCGGCGAGCGGCGAACGGGUGAGUAAUGCAUCGGAACAUGUCCAUUCGUGGGGGAUAGCCCGGCGAAAGCCGGAUUAAUACCGCAUACGCCCUGAGGGGGAAAGUGGGGGACCGCAAGGCCUCACGCGAUUGGGUUGGCCGAUGUCCGAUUAGCUAGUUGGCGGGGUAAGAGCCCACCAAGGCGAUGAUCGGUAGCUGGUCUGAGAGGAUGAUCAGCCACACUGGGACUGAGACACGGCCCAGACUCCUACGGGAGGCAGCAGUGGGGAAUUUUGACAAUGGGGGAAACCCUGAUCCAGCCAUUCCGCGUGAGUGAAGAAGGCCUUCGGGUUGUAAAGCUCUUUUGUCCGGAACGAAACGGUUAGCGUGAAUAUCGCUGACUACUGACGGUACCGGAAGAAUAAGCACCGGCUAACUACGUGCCAGCAGCCGCGGUAAUACGUAGGGUGCGAGCGUUAAUCGGAAUUACUGGGCGUAAAGCGUGCGCAGGCGGUUUUGUAAGCCAGAUGUGAAAUCCCCGGGCUUAACCUGGGAAUGGCAUUUGGGACUGCAAGGCUGGAGUUUGGCAGAGGAGACUGGAAUUCCUGGUGUAGCAGUGAAAUGCGUAGAUAUCAGGAGGAACACCGAUGGCGAAGGCAGGUCUCUGGGCUGAAACUGACGCUCAUGCACGAAAGCGUGGGGAGCAAACAGGAUUAGAUACCCUGGUAGUCCACGCCCUAAACGAUGUCGACUGGUUGUUGGGGGUUUGACACUCUCAGUAACGAAGCUAACGCGUGAAGUCGACCGCCUGGGGAGUAC